GACGAACGCUGGCGGCGCGCCUAACACAUGCAAGUCGAACGAGCGAGGGAGAGCUUGCUUUCUCAAGCGAGUGGCGAACGGGUGGGUAACGCGUGAGGGAGCUGCCUCAAAGAGGGGGACAACAGUUGGAAACGACUGCUAAUACCGCAUAAGCCCACGACCCGGCAUCGGGUAGGGGGAAAAGGAGCAAUCCGCUUUGAGAGGGCCUCGCAUCCGAUUAGCUGGUUGGUGAGGUAACGGCCCACCAAGGCGACGAUCGGUAGCCGGACUGAGAGGUUGAGCCGCCACAUUGGGACUGAGACACGGCGCAGACUCCUACGGGAGGCAGCAGUGGGGAAUAUUGCACAAUGGGGGAAACCAUGAUGCAGCGACGCCGCGUGGAGGAAGAAGGUCUUCGGAUUGUAAACUCCUGUUGUUGAGGAAGAUAAUGACGGUACUCAAAAAGGAAGUGACGGCUAACUACGUG
rnacentral:rRNA from 1 species